rnacentral:rRNA from 1 species
UGGGGAAUAUUGCACAAUGGGCGCAAGCCUGAUGCAGCCAUGCCGCGUGUAUGAAGAAGGCCUUCGGGUUGUAAAGUACUUUCAGCGGGGAGGAAGGGAGUAAAGUUAAUACCUUUGCUCAUUGACGUUACCCGCAGAAGAAGCACCGGCUAACUCCGUGCCAGCAGCCGCGGUAAUACGGAGGGUGCAAGCGUUAAUCGGAGUUACUGGGCGUAAAGCGCACGCAGGCGGUUGAUUGAGUCAGAUGUGAAAUCCCCGGGCUUAACCCGGGAAUUGCAUCUGAUACUGGUCAGCUAGAGUCUUGUAGAGGGGGGUAGAAUUCCAUGUGUAGCGGUGAAAUGCGUAGAGAUGUGGAGGAAUACCGGUGGCGAAGGCGGCCCCCUGGACGAAGACUGACGCUCAGGUGCGAAAGCGUGGGGAGCAAACAGG